rnacentral:rRNA from 1 species
CAGUCGCCGCGGGAAUACGAAGGGUGCAAGCGUUAAUCGGAAUUACUGGGCGUAAAGCGCACGCAGGCGGUUUGUUAGGUCAGAUGUGAAAUCCCCGAGCUUAACUUGGGAACUGCAUUUGAAACUGGCAAGCUAGAGUCUUGUAGAGGGGGGUAGAAUUCCAGGUGUAGCGGUGAAAUGCGUAGAGAUCUGGAGGAAUACCGGUGGCGAAGGCGGCCCCCUGGACAAAGACUGACGCUCAGGUGCGAAAGCGUGGGGAGCAAACAGGAUUAGAUACCCCUGUAGUCCCUGUCUCUUAUCC